rnacentral:pre_miRNA from 1 species
GUAGUAUUCCCUCCGUCCCAAAUUCUUGUCUUACAUUUGUUUAGAUACGGAUGUAUCUAACACUAAAAUGUAACUAGAUACAUCCGUAUUUAGACAAAUUCAAGACAAGAAUUUUCGGACCGAGGGAGUACAAA